rnacentral:rRNA from 1 species
UACGUAGGGUGCGAGCGUUGUCCGGAAUUAUUGGGCGUAAAGAGCUCGUAGGCGGUGUGUCACGUCGGCCGUGAAACCUGCAGCUUAACUGUGGGCGUGCGGUCGAUACGGGCAUCACUGGAGUUCGGCAGGGGAGACUGGAAUUCCUGGUGUAGCGGUGAAAUGCGCAGAUAUCAGGAGGAACACCGGUGGCGAAGGCGGGUCUCUGGGCCGAUACUGACGCUGAGGAGCGAAAGCGUGGGAGCAACAGG